UCUUCUUAUCUUAUCUUAUAUCUAUAUAAAGCAAAAUCUCGGGCGGCUUACGUGGCACUUCUCAGGCUCUUAAACCAAAUUCUCUGCUCUCUGAGCCUCGCUCGCCUAGAACAACUCUUCUGUUCGACUGAUUAAUAUUAAUAUUUCAGUUAAUGACCUUUUGUUUUCCUAAUCUAUCUAUUAAUUAUUACAGUUUAAAAACCUUUUGCUUUUCAUUACAGGUAACUUUUAAUUUUUCAAUGGUUAGUCGUGUUGUUCAGCCUUUGAUUUCCCACGAUCCGUAGUGUUGUUUGUGUAAUUCAGCCUUUGUCUUCACAUUCACGUGAUCGAGAGGGUUCAUGGUGAUCUGGUCAUUAAAGACAUCAAUAGCAUCGAUAGAUUCGUGUUCCGUACCGCCAAGGUCUACAUCAAUGGCCUUCUACAUGUUUGCGAGGAUGUCACAAUGAAAGAAGAUAACACAACUGUGGUCUUUUCUAAGAGACUCAAGUUUCUGGUGACCUUCUACAUGUUUGCGAAAAUAUCUUGCAAUGAUUUUUAAUUCGAUAUGAAGGAGCGGAGUAUGGUGGAUGUGUUUGUUAUGGUAGAAGGUUACUGCCAUUUGUUUGUAGAGAGGCUCGAUCUUGUAGGCAAAGAAAAAGGAUGUUCAGAGGAGGUAUCGGGCUUGAUAUAUGGUUCUAUAAGAUGAUGAGAGUUUCCAAAGCUUCGAGAGACGAGUGCAAUGUUCACAUCACAUUUUGGGAAGGAAUUCUUUGCUCUUGCUGAAUUAAUCAUCCAUGACAAUAGAGGUAAGCAAGCAAUAUUAGAAUAUAGUUGAUUAAUACUGUUGUGACAUUUGGCAAUUAGAAUGGUUAGCGCUUCAGUUUGUUGCAACUGUUAUGAACUAGAUGACUGCGUAAAUCAACUCUGUUCUUGUGUUGCUUUCGGUUCGGUUGGAUGAAUGUUAGUGAUUAUAGACACACAUGUUUGUUUGGAUUAGUGUGAUGACAAAGGUCUUUGUGCGAGUUUAAUUCAGUGCAGCUGAGGAUUUCCUCCCAGUUCUGUGCAAAAGCUCCUCAUCCUCAAAUGGUACUCUCUCUCAUACAAGGUGAUUAAUAAGUAUUCUCUUUCUCAGGUGGGUGGCUUUUUUAAAGAAUUUUUGGUGUCACUCCAAGUAUUUAGUGUAUAAAUAAGAUACUCUGCUAUCUGGUCAAAAGGACCAGCAUGUGUAAAACCAUAGCAAAAUCAUCUUCAAAAUGUGAAACAAAUGUUUCAAGAGCCUCUGUCACUACUCGCCAGUGUUUAUUCAUAGGGACGGGCAAACUGGACUACGCCAGCUUAUGUUGCUACAAAUGGUAUCUCUGGAUUUCUUUGUUACAAGUACACUAUUAUUUCUAACUUUAAACUGCUUUAAUUAGUAGAAUAAUUUGCUUUUAUUGUCCUCUCUUGGUUAAGAUAUCUGUAUAAGCUACUAUUUGGUUCUCAAACCUCAGACAAAUAUGUUAUUUCGAAUAUUGUAAACUCAAAUUUGCACUCUCAACAAUUUAGAUUGCAAUUUGUUUUAUUACUGGACUUUUACCUCUUUGUUGCAAGUCCAGCACUUAAUUAGCGUCUUUUAAAUCUUUCAAGGAAGACUUUAACCAAUCACACUAAAAUGUUAUUGUUGUGUAGUAGUUACUCAUAAGUAGGGUAAUUUAAGAAUAGUUAUUUACAAGUGAUGGUUAAAAACCUGUUAAAUUAAAUUGUGAGUGUUUACAUGAGGCUGUUGUUUAUAUUAAUUUUGUUUUAUACCGUGAAAUUGAAUAUAAGUUGUUAGCUCUUUCCUGAUUGCGUUUUUACUUAUUGAUUGUAGCUAAUUUUCCGCAACUUUUUUUUUUUUUUUUUUUGACAGAAAAUACACUUGCUCGUAUCGAUAAAACGCCAAUACUCCGAGGAGUUUCUUUCAUUCAAAAAAGCUUAUCAUCUAACCGAAAGACAUGAAAAUGUCUCCGGAAGUUUAGACAAUAAGACCUUAAUGUCCGAAAAGAAAAUGUCCCAACUUGUAAGACCACGCUACCUGAAACAAAUACAAUUGAUUAAUAACAAGAAAAUACAAUAAAUUUAAUAAUUAAUAUCAGUAUAGUUUAUCAAAUCAAAAGGUGGUAAAAAUUUUCCGCAACUAUUUGAGUGUGCAAAGAUGACAAUUACACCAAAGAUUUCCAUCGAUAACGGUGACCUGGUAGUGCAUGGGAAAACUGUGCUCAAGGGGGUUCCGGACAAUAUUAUGCUGACUCCAGGAUCUGGAGCUGGACUGGUCUCCAGGGCUUUCAUUGGUGAUACGAGUAGUAAGUGCAUCCACGUCUUUCCCGUGGGUGUAUUAGAGAUUUAGAGUAAGCACCAAAGUUUCCUUCCUAAUUUGCUGUUAUGUCUGUUUGUAAUGAUGUGGUUACUCUUAUCUAUAACUAUGAAGUAUUAUAAUCUGCAAGCUCCUAGAUAUUCCAAAUUAAUAGCCUACAAAUGAAAAGAUGUGUAUAUUGGUGUAAUGUGGCUGAAGAGCACCAGGUUUCAGUACAGGGCAUUAGUCUACAAGUUGAAGAGGAAUCCUCCAUGACAAUAGAGGUAAGCAAGCAAUAUUAUUUCAAAUAAACAAGUAUAAAUGGGCUUAAAUUUGCAAUCAUAGAAGUACAAUUUUUUCGAUAUAUGCAAACUAAUCAGAUCCUUGUCAUGAAUGUGUGGAAUUUUGAAGCAGGAUCAAAUCUAAAAUAGAAUUCCUCGAUUUUACUUUGAAAAAAAAAAGAUAAAAGCUUUUCUGAUUCUAUGAAAGGAAGAAAAAAGUGAAAGGACAUAACUGACACAAGACAUGAAUACAAGCAUCAUUUGAAUCGGCAGCUUAUACAGCAGUAGUCUAGGUGAUCAAAUUAGUCCAAAGUACAAGGUUGAAAGAGGCAUCUAAUACACCUAAGCCUAGAGAGGUUUGGACAGAGAGGAAUUAGAAAUUAUGGAUCAUAUAAAAUAUAUAAAAUGUUUUAUAUUUUAUAUAUUUCUCAUUUGAAACCUGUUGCUGCUUCAAAAUAUGUUUCGAGCAUUCAUUCAGGAAGUAACACUGAUAUAGGACCACGUCAUUCUAAUGAGGAUUAACACAUCUCUGUUAAUGAUCUGUAUGCCCAGUUAGGAUCCUACCAUAUGUGGCCACUACCAAGUUCAUUAUAUGUUUUGUUUGACAUUCAUGUUGUCCAAGCUCUGGCUGAUGAAUGCAUCUGUAAUGUCUCUGAGACAAACAACUUUGACUGCUUUGGUGCUUGGAAGUCAUCUACAAGUGGUUGCGAGUGUUGUGUUUCUCCUGUAGUGCUUUGCAGAAAAGGAGUUGUCACUAUGUCUCGAGCUUCCCUUCUUUUUUGUUCUAACUUUCAGGCUCUGCGAUGCCUCCUCAUUUUAAAAAAUAAAAUAUUCUUAAGUUGAUAAUUGAUUCUUUAUUUUUCCA